CCUACGGGAGGCAGCAGUAAGGAAUCUUCCACAAUGGACGAAAGUCUGAUGGAGCAACGCCGCGUGCAGGAUAAGGCCUUCGGGUUGUAAACUGCUUUUAUAUGGGAAGAUUAUGACGGUACCAUAUGAAUAAGGACCGGCUAACUACGUGCCAGCAGCCGCGGUAAUACGUAGGGUCCAAGCGUUAUCCGGAAUCACUGGGCGUAAAGCGUGCGUAGGUGGAUGCUUAAGUGUGAUGUUAAAUCGUGUGGCUCAACCAUAUCGAUGCAUCGCAUACUGGGCGUCUAGAGGGAAGCAGAGGCAAGUGGAAUUGGUAGUGUAGCAGUGAAAUGCGUAGAUAUUACCAGGAACACCAAUGGCGGAGGCAGCUUGCUGGGCUUCUUCUGACACUGAGGUACGAAAGCGUGGGGAGCGAACAGGAUUAGAUACCCUGGUAGUCCACGCCGUAAACGAUGCAUACUAGUCUUAUGGGGUAUCGACCCCCUGUGAGACGCAGCUAACGCGAUAAGUAUGCCGCCUGGGAAGUACGGCCGCAAGGCUAAAACUCAAAGGAAUUGACGG
rnacentral:rRNA from 1 species